UACGUAGGGUGCAAGCGUUGUCCGGAAUUAUUGGGCGUAAAGAGCUCGUAGGCGGUUUGUCGCGUCUGCUGUGAAAUCUAGAGGCUCAACCUCUAGCGUGCAGUGGGUACGGGCAGACUGGAGUGGUGUAGGGGGAGACUGGAAUUCCUGGUGUAGCGGUGGAAUGCGCAGAUAUCAGGAGGAACACCGAUGGCGAAGGCAGGUCUCUGG
rnacentral:rRNA from 1 species